GCCGCCUUAGCUCAGUGGUAGAGCAAUUGUUUUGUAAACAAUAGGUCCAGGGUUCAAGUCCCUGAGGCGGCUCCA
rnacentral:tRNA from 2 species